GAUGAACGCUGGCGGCGUGCCUAAUACAUGCAAGUCGAGCGAACGGACGAGAAGCUUGCUUCUCUGAUGUUAGCGGCGGACGGGUGAGUAACACGUGGAUAACCUACCUAUAAGACUGGGAUAACUUCGGGAAACCGGAGCUAAUACCGGAUAAUAUUUUGAACCGCAUGGUUCAAAAGUGAAAGACGGUCUUGCUGUCACUUAUAGAUGGAUCCGCGCUGCAUUAGCUAGUUGGUAAGGUAACGGCUUACCAAGGCAACGAUGCAUAGCCGACCUGAGAGGUGAUCGGCCACACUGGAACUGAGACACGGUCCAGACUCCUACGGGAGGCAGCAGUGGGGAAUCUUCCGCAAUGGGCGAAAGCCUGACGGAGCAACGCCGCGUGAGUGAUGAAGGUCUUCGGAUCGUAAAACUCUGUUAUUAGGGAAGAACAUAUGUGUAAGUAACUGUGCACAUCUUGACGGUACCUAAUCAGAAAGCCACGGCUAACUACGUG
rnacentral:rRNA from 1 species